rnacentral:misc_RNA from 1 species
GAUGCAUCCCACAUCGAUUCUGCAGGGUGGUCUUGGGUGUUAUAUACAUGGGUUUACAAACCUAUAUAUAUAACAUCCAAGACUUCCCUGCAGAACCGACGUGGGAUGCAUCAAUAACACAUACAUUUAAAGCUCUCCUUUUUUUCCUAGAGGGAGGGAGGGAGAGGGCACUUUGGGAAGACAAAUUCCAUUCCCAUGGUUGAGCACCAAAUUCACAAGUCAAUCCUACACAUAGUUACUUCCCUAAAAGUCUGUUGAAUCCUUAAAGACCAAUUCUUGACCAACUUUCUUUAAUAGUUUAUCAGCAACACAAAUCAUAAUUGGAGAUAUGACAAUCUUUAGUAAUUACAGACAAUUAACUUCAUAACAACUCUACUUUUCUUAUCCGUAAUCAUUUAUAUUUAAUUUGAUUAGAAAUUCUUCAUCACAACAAGUACAAAGGUCAUUUCUUUUUCUUAAUAAGUAUGUCAAAUAUCUCAGUUGAAGUCUGAGUAAUGGAAUGCCCAAAUGCACAUUCUGAUAAAUUAAUCAUUAUCUUAUUUCUAGACUAUUGAUGCUUCAACCAAUCAAAACCUCAUAAUAUCAGAAAAAAAUAUAAACAUGUAGGAAAGCAUAUGCAGUUAGGACCAAAGUUAGCAUCUUCAAUAAUCAUAAAGUCAUCCUAGACAAUUCUUCAAACAAAAGAUAUGGCUCAUCUGCCUAUAACAUGUUGGAUAGCACCUCAAGAGAACAUAUGCCAAUCAUAAAUAAAAAAGGCGAAUAAGGGAAUGUGUUUAUGUAGGUUCACCCAUGAGCUCUGUGUGUGUGUGUGUGUGU